UCUAACUUUUUUUUGUCAAUUUUUUUUCUCUCUCUUUCUCUCGCUCUUCGCCGAACUUUUUUUUUUCUCUCUACCGUCAGAACUUUUUUUUCAAAACAGGAUUUGCUAACAGAGUGGCAUGAUUUCUGGCAUGUACAAACACUACUUCGCUCGGAUUAUUUAGCAUCCCUUAUCUAGAAAGCCGCUGGCCAAAUAAUUUAUCCGCGACCUUCUUCGAGUGGCCGUGAAGGCUCCACCUUUUGCAAACAGAGGAUCGACGAUCUCGUCGGAGUGGCCGCAGCCUCAAAGUCUUCUUCCUAUUCGACAAGACACCCUAACGCCGAGUCCCCCUUCCUUCGCUGUGGCCUCUAGACACCGGAUCGCCUUCGCCAAUAGCAAACCCUCGCAGCCUCGUGUGAAGCUUUCCCCUCUUCGAUCUCCAAGGGUCGCCGCCUCCUGUCCCAGCAACCUUGCUAUUGCUCGUGUCGGCGUCCAGCCGUCAACUGCCGCCAGCAGCCGAGAGAAAGUGUGUCGUAUUGGUGCUGCCUUUCUCUUCGGCAGCCGUUGAAUUCGUGUUGUGAAUUAAAGAAAUUUGAAGAACAAGAAUGCUGGAGCCAAAGCCAAAACCUUCAGAUUAAGAACAGAAGGAAUCUGAGAAGCAAGAAUGCUGCAACCAAAAUCUUCAAAUUUGAGUUUAUGCUCUGGAUGGGCCUUCAUCAUAUGCGGCACCAUUUCAUUUCUGACAUUGUGUUAUGCUGCAAUAAUUUCCAAGAUCCUUCCAGAACCAAGAAAUUCAAUUUUGUUAUCGAUUCGAAAUGACUGGUACUAUUGCUUUCUGGUUCCUCUCACAUUGCCUGUGUUAAUAGUUCUGGUAUAUUUACAUUGGCUCAGUAUGAAACUCUUUAAGCAUGCAUGACAGUGCUCCAUCAGUUUUUGGAGAAAGGAAAACAUAAAUCCCAGAUGUGCAUGGAAGGUGUGAAUUGUGGUUUCGUACAUCAGGUAGCACGGCAAGGCUCUCUCAAGUCUCAACUGAACUCGUCGAAGUUUUCCUGCAAGGUUUUCAAAUAAGCUACGAUAGCUGUUGUGCCUUCUCUGAUUUACCCUCUCCAUUGCACUUGAACUGUACUUGCACUCUUCAUUGUAGUCGAACUGAUAUUAAAGAGAUUUCUUAGCAUAUCUUCGCUGUAAAA